GACAGAGGUGCCAAGCGUUAGGCGGAAUUACUGGGCGUAAAGAGUUCGUAGGCGGUUUGUCGCGUCGUUUGUGAAAACCAGCAGCUCAACUGCUGGCUUGCAGGCGAUACGGGCAGACUUGAGUACUGCAGGGGAGACUGGAAUUCCUGGUGUAGCGGUGAAAUGCGCAGAUAUCAGGAGGAACACCGGUGGCGAAGGCGGGUCUCUGGGCAGUAACUGACGCUGAGGAACGAAAGCGUGAGUAGCGAACAGG
rnacentral:rRNA from 1 species